rnacentral:rRNA from 1 species
AGAACGAACGCUGGCGGCAUGCCUAAUACAUGCAAGUCGAACGAACACUUCGGUGUUAGUGGCGCACGGGUGCGUAACGCGUGGGAAUCUGCCCUUGGGUUCGGAAUAACAGUUGGAAACGACUGCUAAUACCGGAUGAUAUCGAAAGAUCAAAGAUUUAUCGCCCAGGGAUGAGCCCGCGUAGGAUUAGCUAGUUGGUGAGGUAAAGGCUCACCAAGGCGACGAUCCUUAGCUGGUCUGAGAGGAUGAUCAGCCACACUGGGACUGAGACACGGCCCAGACUCCUACGGGAGGCAGCAGUAGGGAAUAUUGGACAAUGGGCGCAAGCCUGAUCCAGCAAUGCCGCGUGAGUGAUGAAGGUCCUUAGGGUUGUAAGCGUCUUUACCCGAGAUGAUAAUGACUAGUAGUCGGAGAAUAAGCCCCGGAUACCGUCCGUGCCAGCCAGCCGAC